CUGACCAGAGAAUAUGAUUCGGGCCUCAGGGAAUAUGCGUUUCAGCCCUAAUGUCUUGUGUGCCGGGUGAGUGGUGGCAUCAUGGCACGUGCAAGUGAACGUUCAUCCACACAGACACUCAGGGAUCUGAACCCGGCCACUCACCGUGGUGGCGGCUCUGGUUCCGACUUCUUUCCGAGCCCUUCCCCGGACCGGUCGUUGCUCCUCUCCAG
rnacentral:lncRNA from 1 species